GAGGGCUGCUCAGCUAGGGUGGUUAAAACUACAGAUUUGGCAGGUGUUUGAACUUUUAAACAAAGGGUCCAUGGGGAGUGGCUGAGCCUUUCUAUUUGUACUUGUGGCCUGCUGACAGUCAACAUUCCUCCCCUACCAUGUGCCAGCUCCAGAAGGCCAAGUGCACACAUUGCAAUAUACCAAAAGAUGUUCUUUUCCUGCCUCUUACAAAGCAACUGAGCACAGCAUGGACGGGGGUGUGAACCUAAACCAAUUGAAGAUGUUCCAAGAAGAGUGAGCUUAUUUUUCACCUACUUCAAAAAUCAUCAGAACAGUUUAACUAUGGACGAGCAUGGACUUCCAGCAGAUUCCUAUGUCUGUGUGUGAAAUCUGAGAGCUUCUGCCUCCCUAAAGAACACUCACAGAACAAGUUACUUCCAGUCUAAGGUUUUACUGUGUAUUUUAAGAUUGCCAGACCUGAGGACUCCUGGUAAGAAUUAUUGCAGCCAUUGUUUCUGGGAAGGGAGAGGAAGCUUCUUGACUGGUUCCCUUUGCUCUUCAUCACCUGCCUUUGGUUCAGGAUCUGCAGUAGGAGGAACAGAAGAUCCCACACAACUUACUUUAACAAAAAAAAAAAAGAG
rnacentral:lncRNA from 1 species